rnacentral:rRNA from 1 species
UACGUAGGGUGCGAGCGUUAAUCGGAAUUACUGGGCGUAAAGUGUGCGCAGGUGGCCGCGCAAGUCGAGUGUGAAAAUCCCCCGAGCUUGACUUGGGAAUUGCGCUCGAAACUACGUGGCUCGAGUGUGGCAGAGGAAGGUGGAAUUCCACGUGUAGCGGUGAAAUGCGUAGAGAUGUGGAGGAACACCGAUGGCGAAGGCAGCCUUCUGGGCCAACACUGACGCUCAUGCACGAAAGCGUGGGGAGCAAACAGG